rnacentral:rRNA from 1 species
AGAGUUUGAUCAUGGCUCAGAUUGAACGCUGGCGGAAUGCUUUACACAUGCAAGUCGAACGAUGAACCCUAGCUUGCUAGGGGGAUUAGUGGCGAACGGGUGAGUAAUAUAUCGGAACGUGCCUUGUAAUGGGGGAUAACUAGUCGAAAGAUUAGCUAAUACCGCAUACGCCCUGAGGGGGAAAGUAGGGGAUCUUCGGACCUUACGUUAUAAGAGCGGCCGAUAUCUGAUUAGCUAGUUGGUGGGGUAAUGGCCUACCAAGGCUCCGAUCAGUAGCUGGUCUGAGAGGACGACCAGCCACACUGGAACUGAGACACGGUCCAGACUCCUACGGGAGGCAGCAGUGGGGAAUUUUGGACAAUGGGCGCAAGCCUGAUCCAGCCAUUCCGCGUGAGUGAAGAAGGCCUUCGGGUUGUAAAGCUCUUUCGCAAGGGAAGAAAACUUACUUUCUAAUAAAGAGUGAGGCUGACGGUACCUUGAUAAGAAGCACCGGCUAACUACGUGCCAGCAGCCGCGGUAAUACGUAGGGUGCGAGCGUUAAUCGGAAUUACUGGGCGUAAAGCGUGCGCAGGCGGUUUGGCAAGUCAGAUGUGAAAUCCCCGAGCUCAACUUGGGAACUGCGUUUGAAACUGCCAGACUAGAAUAUGUCAGAGGGGGGUAGAAUUCCACGUGUAGCAGUGAAAUGCGUAGAGAUGUGGAGGAAUACCAAUGGCGAAGGCAGCCCCCUGGGAUAAUAUUGACGCUCAUGCACGAAAGCGUGGGGAGCAAACAGGA